UACAGCGGCGUACGGGUGAGUAACACGUGGAUGAUCUACCUUCUAGUGGGGGAUAACCCUGGGAAGCCGGGGCUAAUACCGCAUAAGCCUGUGAAGGGAAAGCAGCAAUGCGCUGGAAGAGGAGUCCGCGGCCGAUUAGCUAGUUGGUGAGGUAACGGCCCACCAAGGCGACGAUCGGUAGCCGGCCUGAGAGGGCACACGGCCACACUGGCACUGAAACACGGGCCAG
rnacentral:rRNA from 1 species